CGGGCCGUAGUGUAACGGUUAACAUGCACCCUUGGGGUGGGUGUGACAGAGGGUUCGACUCCCUCCGGCCCGA
rfam:Candidatus Liptonbacteria bacterium RIFCSPHIGHO2_12_FTLL_60_13 rifcsphigho2_12_scaffold_3740, whole genome shotgun sequence.